UAGGGAAUCUUCCACAAUGGACGAAAGUCUGAUGGAGCAACGCCGCGUGAGUGAUGAAGGGUUUCGGCUCGUAAAACUCUGUUGUUGGAGAAGAACAGGUGAUAGAGUAACUGUUAUCAUCUUGACGGUAUCCAACCAGAAAGCCACGGCUAACUACGUGCCAGCAGCCGCGGUAAUACGUAGGUGGCAAGCGUUGUCCGGAUUUAUUGGGCGUAAAGCGAGCGCAGGCGGUUUUUUAGGUCUGAUGUGAAAGCCUUCGGCUUAACCGGAGAAGGGCAUCGGAAACCGGGAGACUUGAGUGCAGAAGAGGACAGUGGAACUCCAUGUGUAGCGGUGAAAUGCGUAGAUAUAUGGAAGAACACCAGUGGCGAAGGCGGCUGUCUGGUCUGUAACUGACGCUGAGGCUCGAAAGCAUGGGUAGCGAACAGGAUUAGAUACCCUUGGUAGUCCAUGCCGUAAACGAUGAGUGCU
rnacentral:rRNA from 1 species